rnacentral:misc_RNA from 1 species
CGCACAUUGCGCCCCUUGGUAUUCCGAGGAGCAUGCCUGUUCGAGCGUCAUUUCAAACCUCAAGCUCUUGCUUGGUAUUGGGCGUCGUCCGCCUGGACGUGCCUGAAACUCGUGGGCGGUGGUGCCGAUCUCCCAGCGUAGUCAAUUCUAUCCGCUUCGGAGUUUAGGCGUCGCCCGCCUGAGAACACUCUUUUUUCUAUGGUUUGACCUCGGAUCAGGUAGGGAUACCCGCUGAACUUAA